UAUUUCUCGGAAAGGUAGGUGUUUGGCUGAUCUUAAAAAGAAAAAAAAAAAAAGUAUAUUUAACUGCAUGUAUGCAGAGAUGUCCACAUUUGCUUCUGUGUAUUCAUUACUCUGUACAGCACACAUUUCAGUACUUAAAUCAUCAUUAUUAUGCACAAAGUUACAUGUAAAAUACAUUCCAUGUUCACAGUACAGAGGUUGAAAUCUGACUUUAACUCAAAUGCAAUGCUAAGAUGCAGUUGUGCCUUCAUGGACUGGUGUGUGAGUGUCAGCAUUGCAGAAGGAAGAAGACCUAUUGUACCUUCUGAGAAUUCAUCACAUCUACAUCUUCAGCAGACCUAUGUCAGUUUGUGUCUUAACAUCCAAACAUGCAAAAGAAAUAGUGUAAAUAAUCACCUUUCCCUUAUUGUUCAGCCUUCCUCAAAAGGUGUGUUCUUCUCUGCAAAUGUAGAAGCAGUAUGACUCUAAUCCUUUUUCUUUGGACCUGAAAUAAGGAAGACGUGCUAUUUGGAUGAAAGACAGUAUGGUCUUAUAUGAAUCAAAUGGAACCUUGGUUCUCAUAUGAACAAUUCUUGUUCAUUUAGAUGUUAUCAGGUAUUUACUCCUGUUCUUGCAGAAGUUUUCGGAAAGUUUCUCAGUGGGACAAAAUUCCUAUUUUUAUUUUUAAAGAAUCUGUGAAAUUCCUGUUUUGAUGCAAAACCAAUUGACUCAGUGGAACUUUUUGAAAGGCUUUAGACUGAGCACCAAGAUGCAAUGUUUAGUCAGGGAAAAAAAUUAAAAGCAUACUAGACACUUCUGUUCUCCCUUAACCCCCACCCCAUCACUCUUUAAGACUUUACUAUUCCACAUGAAAUAUAUGAUAAUAGGUGAAAUGAAAAGAAUUCAUGAGUAGCAAUUAGGGCUGUUUUAUGGAAGUUUUUUAUGAACUCACUAUUUUUGAGAAAUAUUUUUGUUUUGCAUUCAUAGUUCUAUAUUUUGAAUAUAUGGUAUUUUAUGCAUAUAUGCUUUCAUUUUUAGGCCCAGUCAUAUAUAUAGCAUCUGUCUGUGUUUCUAUCCUGUUUUUAUCUGACAGAUUUUAGACAAAUUUAGAUAAUUUAUCUAAAUUUUAGAUAAAUUUAGACAAAUCAGAUAGACAUUAAUACUUUUUUAUUAAUAAGAAAGCAAGCUAUUUCAAAUAACCUUGGUAGCUAGACUAAACUAUUUCAAUAAAACCAUUUUGGAAAAGGUGACUUUUCAUAAGCCUGCAACCAUGUUAAAAAUGCUGUGUAAAAGUAUUGUACAUAUGUUUCAUUUUCAUUAUUCUAGUCCCGUAGUAAUGAGAUAUUAAAAAAUAUAAUGAAUAGAGAAUCCGAUUUAAUAAAAUCUUACUUUCAUCUUGUUAGACGGUUAGAUAAUUUUAGUAGCACACAUGAGGUUUAAAUAGUUAUUACUGUAGAACUAUCAUGCUGCUUUUCCAUUCAUUCUUAUUAUGAUCCAUAUUAUACUUCUAGUAAAGUACCUUAAAGUUCUGUAGAAUACUACAGAAAAUUUAUUUCAAUAUGCCUGUGUAGCAUGAGAGCACAACUCUGUAUUCCUUACUGAAAUCAGCUAUUUGAAUGGUGUCUACAUAGCCUGAAACUACUCCUUAUAAUGAAAAGUUAUAUCUGAAUAUUUGAACUAGAAUUGUCAUUAUAAACCUUAGCACAAGAACAACAAACAAUAAAUGCUGCUGAAUUUAUGAGAAAUAAUAAGGUCUUUAUUACUAUUGAAGUGUGCUGGCUUUUGCUAAUUUAAUUUUUAAUCUGUUUCUCAUUAAGCCAGGAGAUCCUAAAAAAAUAUAUUCAAAAACUCAGGAGGAAAGUUGGACGUUACUUCUAUAAUCCUCACAUGAAAUACAAAUGGAGAGAAGUGAACUAGACUGGAACAACAGAAUAGAUGGAUUAACAAAAGAAUAUUAGGAAUACAUAGAUUAUAUCUACAACAGUUUUUAAGGUCUACUACGGUAGACCUAUUGCAGUAAUUCAGUCAAUAAGAGUAGCAGGAACAGUUGACAUAGGAACCAGACAUGUGAAAAUAGAAACACAGAAGUAUUCAAGUCAUAAAUGUUGGAACUGAUGGAAACACAUUGUUUAGGAAAAACAGAAAAAAAGUUGGUGGCAUAAUUUCAUUUUAAUGGACUAAAAACUUUCAAGAAGUAAUAAUUGUUAAGCAAAAAUGCAACAAAGAAAUUAAAUCUGAUGGUGAAGAUGAGAAUGAAAAUCAUGGAGGAAAGGGUAGGAAAAAAGCUUCAUGAGGAUGUAAUCUGUCACAAAUCUCUUUGAACAGAUUUGAUCUGGAUAAUAAUUCCUAUUAAUAUUAGGGAAGGAAAUAAAGUAAAAAUGGAUAUUGUGUGACUAUUUCAAUUUAUGCAAUUUCCAAUGGGCAAAUAUUAGGAAAAAAUAUACAACAACAACAAAAAACACUGAACUGAUGAUAGUGGGGAAAAUACAAAUUUCAACAUGACAGAGAAUAGCUCCUUUAUGAAAAACAAACAAACAAAAACAUUAAAAAACAAUGAUAUGUUAGUUUUAAUGAACAAUAGGAUCCACAGGAAAAACUGAUAAUGUCUUAGAAACAAAAACAACAACAAAACAACAAAAACUAGAAGAACAACAACAACUC